rnacentral:rRNA from 1 species
GAACGCUAGCGGCAGGCUUAANACAUGCAAGUCGAGGGGUAUAGUUCUUCGGAAUUAGAGACCGGCGCACGGGUGCGUAACGCGUAUGCAAUCUACCUUUCACAGAGGGAUAGCCCAGAGAAAUUUGGAUUAAUACCUCAUAGUAUGGCAGUUUCGCAUGAAACCACUAUUAAAGUCACAACGGUGAAAGAUGAGCAUGCGUCCCAUUAGCUAGUUGGUAAGGUAACGGCUUACCAAGGCAACGAUGGGUAGGGGUCCUGAGAGGGAGAUCCCCCACACUGGUACUGAGACACGGACCAGACUCCUACGGGAGGCAGCAGUGAGGAAUAUUGGACAAUGGGCGCAAGCCUGAUCCAGCCAUGCCGCGUGCAGGAUGACGGUCCUAUGGAUUGUAAACUGCUUUUAUACAGGAAGAAACACUACUUCGUGAAGUAGCUUGACGGUACUGUAAGAAUAAGGAUCGGCUAACUCCGUG